rnacentral:rRNA from 1 species
UGAAUACGAGAUGCUACGGCGUCGAAGCAGUGUAUGUCAGACUUCCAAGAAAAGCUCGCAAUGUCAUAAAUAAAGAAUGCCUGUACCAUAACCGACACAGGUGGGUAGGUAGAGUAUACUAAGGGGCGCGAGAUAACUCUCUCUAAGGAACUCGGCAAAAUAACUCCGUAACUUCGGGAGAAGGAGUGCCUUCUUUAAGAAGGUUGCAAUAACAAGAUCCAAGCAACUGUUUAUCAAAAACACAGGUCUCCGCUAAGUCGUAAGACGAUGUAUGGGGGCUGACGCCUGCCCAGUGCCAGAAGGUUAAAGAAGCUGGUUAGCAAUAGCGAAGCUGGUGACUGAAGCCCUGGUGAACGGCGGCCGUAACAAUAACGGUCCUAAGGUAGCGAAAUUCCUUGUCGGGUAAGUUCCGACCCGCACGAAAGGCGUAAUGAUUUGGAUACUGUCUCGGAGAGGGACUCGGUGAAAUAGACUUGUCUGUGAAGAUGCGGACUACCUGCACCAGGACAGAAAGACCCUAUGAAGCUUUACUGUAACCUGAAAUUGAAAUUGGACUUUAUUUGCGCAGUAUAGGUGGGAGGCGUUGAAAGUAAUCUUGCGGGAUUAGUGGAGCCAUCAGUGAGAUACCACUCCUAUAAUGUUAGAUUUCUAACUUUGGAUCAUGAUCUGGUCAAAGAACAGUUUCAGGCGGGCAGUUUGACUGGGGCGGUCGCCUCCCAAAUGGUAACGGAGGCGUACAAAGGUUUCCUCUGAACGGGUAGAAAUCGUAUCUAGAGUGUAAAGGCAUAAGGAAGCUUGACUGUGAGACCUACAAGUCGAGCAGGGACGAAAGUCGGUCUUAGUGAUCUGACGGUGCUGAGUGGAAAGGCCGUCACUCAACGGAUAAAAGUUACUCUAGGAUAACAGGCUGAUCUCCCCCAAGAGUUCACAUCGACGGGGAGGUUUGGCACCUCGAUGUCGGCUCAUCGCAUCCUGGGGCGGUAGUACGUCCCAAGGGUUGGGCUGUUCGCCCAUGAAAGCGGUACGCGAGCUGGGUUCAGAACGUCGUGAGACAGUUCGGUCCAUAUCCGGUGUAGGCGUUAGAAUAUUGAGAGGAGCCUUCUCUAGUACGAGAGGACCGAGAAGGACAUACCUCUGGUGUACCAGUUAUCGUGCCAACGGUAAACGCUGGGUAGCUAUGUAUGGAGAGGAUAACCGCUGAAAGCAUCUAAGUGGGAAGCCCACCUCAAGAUGAGUAUUCUCAC